UAGCGAGGGGGGGGGGGGGGAUCGGCCCGCGGUUAGUUCGCGAUGGCUCCGCCCGGGAGGCGACUCCGCCUGCGUCUUAGGACAACCCGGUUUCUGCUUGUAAGCAGGUGCGGGGAGCUUCUUUGCAAGAGUCAGGCCGACUCAGGCACCAGGAAUUCCUCACAUCCUCUUCCUCCUCGGGAAUGCCUUUGGCCUGGCCCCUGAUUAAGUGGGCACAGCGUUAGCUAGGAGCGGUGUCCUCGCCAGGCCUGGUGGGCUGAACUAAAGAGAUGGAUCAGACAUCGAAUUCAGAGACUGUCACUAGAGAACCGAGGCUGAUGCAGGAGAUAAGACGUUAAUAGCAAAGAGAGGCAAGUCUUGAGCACCCGCCGUGCACCGGACGGCUUGCAGACAGCACUACUCUUAAUAAUUUGAUUUCACCUUCAACGAAGAAAAUAGCACCCAUUAGAGAGAUGCUGCUCCAGCGUCUGGGCAGUGAGGGAGGAAAAGAGGGAGAAACGGUGGAAUUCAUUGAGGGCCUGGUCUUGAGACUGACCAUGGAUAUGCAGGGAGGGGGAUGGAUCAGGAUGUUCAAUAGUGCUGACGGCACAGUGGGCCUGGAAAGAGAAGAGAGCCAAACAUGCGACUCCUUACCCUGGAAGGAGACCCUGGACCAAGGAGUGCAAAAAGCAACUGGGACCCUCCUAGAAGGGAAAGAGUUUUCCCCAAGACCAUACCCACCCUCCAAGAAAGUAGCUAGGGAGGAAAGAGGAAGGAAAGAAUAUGUCAGGACACUUUGUACAUCAACAAUACAACUCAAACGUAGUGUUACAUCCUGUCACACUGUAUUUGGGCUUCAUUCUGACAUGUAAUCUCCAUCAGCUGCUUCACGAGUUCCUGGUAGGAGGCUCUCAACAUGUACAGAGAAGAGCAAGAAGGAAUCAGCUGAUCAUGGGUAUUGGUUGUCCCUCAUCACUGAGUUGAGUGGGGGUCAGUGGCGGGAGGGGGGGAAUGACUAGAACAGGCAUGGAGUCCGUGUCAGGUAUACCCAGGGACUGUUAGUCUCACCUCAUCCAGCUGCCACCUUACCAGACAUUCAGUCUGGUCUCAGUCUGUCUCCCUCCCUCCCCUCCCCUCCCCUCCCACACUCUUACCUCGCCACGGUAGAAUGGACUCUUCAGCCCCCAACAGUGCCCCCUGCUGGACCCCAGGAGCCUGGCAGCCUGCUCCAUCCCAGGCCCUUUGGAGAGUUAGCGCAAAAGGCACACAGAGCACGUCCUUGUAAUCACUGCUUGAGAAAACGAUCCACAAAAGUCAACCAGCCUAUGGGCCAUUAUCUGCCUACCACCCACAUGCAACUGUUCAAGCUGGGUCCAACUCUCACAUCCAUCUCAUCUUCCUGAUCAUGCCUUUGGAGUUUGCCUCGUGGGGAUUCUUACCUGUG